rnacentral:rRNA from 1 species
CUUCGGAUCUAGCGGCGGACGGGUGAGUAACGCGUGGGAACGUACCCUCUUCUGCGGGAUAGCCACUGGAAACGGUGAGUAAUACCGCAUACGCCCUUCGGGGGAAAGAUUUAUCGGAGGAGGAUCGGCCCGCGUUGGAUUAGGUAGUUGGUGGGGUAAUGGCCUACCAAGCCUACGAUCCAUAGCUGGUUUUAGAGGAUGAUCAGCCACACUGGGACUGAGACACGGCCCAGACUCCUACGGGAGGCAGCAGUGGGGAAUCUUAGACAAUGGGCGCAAGCCUGAUCUAGCCAUGCCGCGUGAGUGACGAAGGCCUUAGGGUCGUAAAGCUCUUUCGCCAGAGAUGAUAAUGACAGUAUCUGGUAAAGAAACCCCGGCUAACUCCGUGCCAGCAGCCGCGGUAAUACGGAGGGGGUUAGCGUUGUUCGGAAUUACUGGGCGUAAAGCGCACGUAGGCGGAUUGGAAAGUAUGGGGUGAAAUCCCAGGGCUCAACCCUGGAACUGCCUCAUAAACUCCCAGUCUGGAGUUCGAGAGAGGUGAGUGGAAUUCCGAGUGUAGAGGUGAAAUUCGUAGAUAUUCGGAGGAACACCAGUGGCGAAGGCGGCUCACUGGCUCGAUACUGACGCUGAGGUGCGAAAGUGUGGGGAGCAAACAGGAUUAGAUACCCUGGUAGUCCACACCGUAAACGAUGAAUGCCAGUCGUCGGCAAGCAUGCUUGUCGGUGACACACCUAACGGAUUAAGCAUUCCGCCUGGGGAGUACGGUCGCAAGAUUAAAACUCAAAGGAAUUGA